GCUGAAAUAGCUCCAUUGGGAGAGUGUUAGACUGAAGUUCUGAAGGUCCCAGGUUCAAUUCUGGGUUCCAGCA
rnacentral:tRNA from 1 species